CUUGCGGUCAUACCAGGUUAAAAAACCGAUCCUCGAACGAUCGCCGGAGUUAAGCAACGUUGAGCCUGGUCAGUAAUUAUAUGGGUGAGUGCUUGGAAAUACGAGAUGCUGUAA